rnacentral:rRNA from 1 species
AGUGAACGCUGGCGGCAGGCCUAAUACAUGCAAGUCGAACGGCAGCACAGCAGAGCUUGCUCUGUGGGUGGCGAGUGGCGGACGGGUGAGGAAUACAUGGGAAUCUGCCCAGUCGUAGGGGAUAACGUAGGGAAACUUACGCUAAUACCGCAUGCGCCCUUCGGGGAAAGCCGGGGACCUUCGGGCCUGGCGCGAUUGGAUGAGCCCAUGUCGGAUUAGCUAGUUGGCGGGGUAAUGGCCCACCAAGGCGACGAUCCGUAGCUGGUCUGAGAGGAUGAUCAGCCACACUGGAACUGAGACACGGUCCAGACUCCUACGGGAGGCAGCAGUAGGGAAUAUUGGACAAUGGGCGCAAGCCUGAUCCAGCCAUGCCGCGUGAGUGAAGAAGGCCCUCGGGUUGUAAAGCUCUUUUGUCCGGAAAGAAAAGCGCCGGGUUAAUACCCUGGUGUCCUGACGGUACCGGAAGAAUAAGCACCGGCUAACUUCGUGCCAGCAGCCG